GAUGAAGAACGCAGCGAAAUGCGAUAAGUAAUGCGAAUUGCAGAAUUUCCGUGAGUCAUCGAAUCUUUGAACGCACAUUGCGCCCACUGGUAUUCCGGUGGGCAUGCCUGUUCGAGCGUCAUUAUCCUCCCUCAAACCCCGGGUUUGGUGUUGGACCCAAGUUGUGUGAACAACUGGUCUCAAAGACAAUGACGGCGUCCGUGGGACCCUCGGUGCAACGAGCUUUUAGGAGCACGCAUCGAGUUGCAAGGACCUUCCGGGCCGGUCUCCUUUACCAUUUUACAAGGUUGACCUCGGACCAGGUAGGAAUACCCGCUGAACUUAAGCAUAUCAAUAAGCGGAGGA
rnacentral:misc_RNA from 1 species